rnacentral:rRNA from 1 species
CCUACGGGGGGCAGCAGUGGAGAAUAUUGCACAAUGGGCGCAAGCCUGAUGCAGCCAUGCCGCGUGUGUGAAGAAGGCCUUCGGGUUGUAAAGCACUUUCAGCGGGGAGGAAGGCGGUGAGGUUAAUAACCUCAUCGAUUGACGUUACCCGCAGAAGAAGCACCGGCUAACUCCGUGCCAGCAGCCGCGGUAAUACGGAGGGUGCAAGCGUUAAUCGGAAUUACUGGGCGUAAAGCGCACGCAGGCGGUCUGUCAAGUCGGAUGUGAAAUCCCCGGGCUCAACCUGGGAACUGCAUUCGAAACUGGCAGGCUAGAGUCUUGUAGAGGGGGGUAGAAUUCCAGGUGUAGCGGUGAAAUGCGUAGAGAUCUGGAGGAAUACCGGUGGCGAAGGCGGCCCCCUGGACAAAGACUGACGCUCAGGUGCGAAAGCGUGGGGAGCAAACAGGAUUAGAUACCCGAGUAGUC